UACAGAGGGGGCAAGCGUUGUUCGGAAUUACUGGGCGUAAAGGGCGCGUAGGCGGCCUUCUAAGUCGAACGUGAAAUCCCCGGGCUCAACCCGGGAACUGCGUCCGAUACUGGUUGGCUUGAAUCCGGGAGAGGGAUGUGGAAUUCCAGGUGUAGCGGUGAAAUGCGUAGAUAUCUGGAGGAACACCGGUGGCGAAGGCGACAUCCUGGACCGGUAUUGACGCUGAGGCGCGAAAGCCAGGGGAGCAAACGGG
rnacentral:rRNA from 1 species